rnacentral:rRNA from 1 species
UCUACGGGAGGCAGCAGUGAGGAAUAUUGGUCAAUGGACGGAAGUCUGAACCAGCCAUGCCGCGUGCAGGAAGACGGCUCUAUGAGUUGUACACUGCUUUUGUACAAGGGUAAACUUGAAUACGUGUAUUCAGCUGAAAGUACUUUACGAAUACGCAUCGGCUAACUCCGUGCCAGCAGCCGCGGUAAUACGGAGGAUCCACGCGUUAUCCGGAUUUAUUGGGUUUAAAGGGUGCGUAGGCGGAGGGAUAAAUUAGAGGGGAAAUGUCCGGGCUUAACCCGGGAACUGCCUUUAAUACUGGUGGUCUUGAGAGUAGAUGCGGUAUGCGGAAUGUAUGGGGUAGCGGUGAAAUGCGUAGAGA